rnacentral:rRNA from 1 species
GAUGAACGCUGGCGGCGUGCCUAAUACAUGCAAGUCGAGCGAACGGACGAGAAGCUUGCUUCUCUGAUGUUAGCGGCGGACGGGUGAGUAACACGUGGAUAACCUACCUAUAAGACUGGGAUAACUUCGGGAAACCGGAGCUAAUACCGGAUGAUAUUUUGAACCGCAUGGUUCAAAAGUGAAAGACGGUCUUGCUGUCACUUAUAGAUGGAUCCGCGCUGCAUUAGCUAGUUGGUAAGGUAACGGCUUACCAAGGCAACGAUGCAUAGCCGACCUGAGAGGGUGAUCGGCCACACUGGAACUGAGACACGGUCCAGACUCCUACGGGAGGCAGCAGUAGGGAAUCUUCCGCAAUGGGCGAAAGCCUGACGGAGCAACGCCGCGUGAGUGAUGAAGGUCUUCGGAUCGUAAAACUCUGUUAUUAGGGAAGAACAUAUGUGUAAGUAACUGUGCACAUCUUGACGGUACCUAAUCAGAAAGCCACGGCUAACUAGGUG